UGAGAUUUCUCCCACAGCUGAAUGACCAGCAGGAGUGAAGGACCAUAAGUCACAGAAUGAGCCAGCUAUUAUCAUUCAUCUAGAAGGAAUGUGAAGGCUGUGAUAUUUUUUAGAAGCACUGAGCCACCAUGUAAGAAGUUCAGCUACCCUGCUGGAGAGAGUACCAAGAGAGACUCCGUGACUACAUGGAGGGGAAGAGGGUGCAGUCAGUCUUACCACCAUUUUCACCAAGGUACCAGCUGGAUAUCUGGAAUUUGAUGAAAUAUUCCUGCUCCCUGCCAUCAAUGGGAUCUUUCAACUCUGCGUUCUGGAAUUGGGGAUAAAAGACUUCAUCAAGAAAGUGGAAAGGAUUUUAGAAUUCAAAGGUUUGGAAUAAGUGUAGACAGUUGUCUUUAAAAUCUGCAUAGAAGUAUAGCCUAAGUGAACCUAUAGAGGCACAGAGGUAGGGUCUUAGAUGAUAGAAGACAGUGUUUGAACUUGGCUCAACGUACAGUAAUAAACCACUAUAUGUACUGAAGUUGGGUAGAAAUAAUAACAAAAGUUGGAUGUAAAAAAGAGAAAUUCUAAUCCCACAUGUAACGGAAUGGAUAGGAGAAAUGGAAUUCAGAAGGGAUGCCAAGGGGCACCUGGAGCAACCCAAGCAUGAGGAAAUGAUGAUCUAGGGAUGGCUGCAAGAAUGGAAAUGAAAUGCCUCUUCUGGAAAUUAUUGUUAAGGAAAAUAUUUUAAAAUACAUGGAAUACUGGCCAAAGGGAUAGAAGGGAUGAGCCAAGCAGAAGUUCUGCUGUUUCUGUCUCAAGAACUAGAAGCUUAAUAGAACUACUAGCAGAAAUCUGGUAGCUGAGAAGGAAAAGCAGAUUUGGUGAGGAGGUAACGAGUUCAGCUGAUAUGAUAGGAAGGAAUUCAGUGAAGAUGCCCUCCAACCAGCUUCAAGCCCAGAACUAAAGAUCCGAACUAGAGUUAGAUAAUCGAGUGAUCUUUUUUUCUAAGAUCCAUGAAGGGGACUCCUAGAGUCCAUUCUCUCCAAAGAAGAGUCUCCCAAGAGUACUCAGGGUGUCAGGGUGGCUUGAUACAGUACUUCCUCCUGUACUGGAAAAGGAUUCCCUCUCAUAACUGGGAGAAUCAAACAAUGGUAUUUACAACCAAGAAUCAUCUGCAGAGAAAGUUAUUCUUUUAGUUCUUUUACAUAUAAUCUUGGAGGACAGAUGAUAAGAAUGAUAAAAUUAUAUAGCAAUGGUUUCGACACCAGAACAUUCUGCCUAGCCUAUCUGUUGUGUUCAUAACUUCUUCCCACCAUCCUCUUUCAGCUACAUUCCCUUUAAUGUGAACACCAUACAAACACAUCAUUAUCCAUAGCCUCAGCUCUCAACAACAAUCUGGAUCAGCAUACCGCUCUCAGGAUUCAGAAAACAUACAACAAAAGUUCUAAGAUGUAUCUUCUACAAGAAAAUGAAUCAUUGAAAGUGCCAGUAUUUCUCUCUGGCUGAGCAAAAAAGGAGAAUGCCAAUUAAUAAACGCCAAGGCCGUGGAGUAAUUCAGUUAGAUAUGACAUGUAGAAAAGCCAAAGUUCAUUUAUUGAACUUCAAUCUUGAUACCACAGUAUUUAUCAAAAGAUCUUACAAUAAAGCACCAAAGAAACAUUACUAUGGCUGUAUCUGAAGUGCACCAAUACCCAGUGACAAGAUGGAGUGUUGCAGUAGUGUGACAUACUGAGAAUGUGAUAAUCUAGGUGAGCUUCCAAGUAAUGAGUGAGCUAUUGAGUACAGCUUGAGUGAGCUAUUGAGUACAGCUCAAUUGAGCUAUUGAGUAACUUGCACAAUAUGACAGGGAAAGUAAAUGCAUGUGCAUCAACUUUCUGUAAAUUUGGCACAUCAAACAUAGGGUGUGGGCAAGUACUUUAUAAUCAUCAUAAUCAGGUGGACUUCAGCCGAUAAUCUAGAAACACUGGGCUAAGGUAAAUGCCCAGAUGUCUGCACUGUCUUUAAUCUGGUAUUCAUUACCUUCUUCCUUCCAAAACAGAGCUCUUGAAACUUUGCCCUUAUUUUAAAUAAUGUUUUGUGAAUUUUUACUGCAGAUUCUAGAUGAGCUUUGGAAAUUCUGAAAGGAGGAGAGACAUACAGGGCAUGAACAGAGUCAGAAAGAACUAGUAAUCAUGUAGUGUUGCCAUAUAAAAGACAAAUACGUUUUUAGUAAGUAAGCCCAAAAUCUUUCACGGGACACACUUAUACUAAAAGCUUAUUCAUUGUUUUUCUGAAAUUUGAAUUUGGCUGGGCAACCGCACUUUUAUUUGCUGAAUCUGGCAACCCAAGGGAAUUUUCCAGGUCUUCCUUUCCUGAAGCUGCACUGUCAUACAAGCAUGGACACAGGUUAAUUUGCCUGAGCCACUAAUGGCUGCAACAUAAACACCUCUCUUGAGAGUCACUAAUAAAGAAAACCAAAACAAAACAACAAAAAAAAAUAAACUAUCAAGUUGCAUAAAUUCUAAAAUGGAAACAAAAUUCAUAACUCAAACCUUUGUUGGCGGCUGGUCAGGGAUGCAAUUAAUUCGUUC
rnacentral:lncRNA from 10 species